ACGGAAGGCAGCAGUAGGGAAUUUUCGGCAAUGGGGGAAACCCUGACCGAGCAAUGCCGCGUGAAUGAUGAAAUUCUUCGGAAUGUAAAGUUCUGUUAUAAGGGACGAAAGGUAGGUGUAGGAAAUGGCAUCUAUUUGACGGUACCUUACUAGAAAGCUCCGGCUAACUAUGUGCCAGCAGCCGCGGUAAUACAUAGGGAGCAAGCGUUAUCCGGAUUUAUUGGGCGUAAAGAGUGCGUAGGCUGCUGUUUAAGUCCGUCGUGAAAGCCCAUGGCUUAACCAUGGAGGGUCGAUGGAAACUGGACAGCUUGAAUACAGAAGAGGUAAGUGGAAUUCCAUGUGUAGCGGUAAAAUGCUUAGAUAUAUGGAGGAACACCAGUGGCGAAGGCGGCUUACUGGUCUGUUAUUGACGCUGAGGCACGAAAGCGUGGGGAGCAAACAGGAUUAGAUACCCUGGUA
rnacentral:rRNA from 2 species